UGGGGAAUAUUCCGCAAUGGGGGCAACCCUGACGGAGCAAUGCCGCGUGAGUGAAGAAGGCCCUUGGGUCGUAAAGCUCUGUUUUCGGGGACGAAGAAAGUGACGGUACCCGAGUAGGAAGCCCCGGCUAACCACGUGCCAGCAGCCGCGGUAAUACGUGGGGGGCGAGCGUUGUCCGGAAUCACUGGGCGUAAAGGGCGCGUAGGCGGUUUACCAAGCCAGACGUGAAAACACGGGGCCCAACCCCGUGCCUGCGUUUGGAACUGGUUGACUUGAGGACAGGAGAGGAAAGCGGAAUUCCGGGUGUAGCGGUGAAAUGCGUAGAUAUCCGGAGGAACACCAGUGGCGAAGGCGGCUUUCUGGACUGCACCUGACGCUGAGGCGCGAAAGCCAGGGUAGCGAACGGG
rnacentral:rRNA from 1 species